CAGCAUGAAUAUUGGCUUGCCAAUAUUUGAUGGCGACCGGCGCACGGGUGAGUAACACGUAUCCAACCUUCCGGUUACUCGGGGAUAGGCUUUCGAAAGAAAGAUUAAUACCCGAUGUUGUGUAUCUUUCUCCUGAUUGAUACGCCAAAGGAUUCCGGUAACCGAUGGGGAUGCGUUCCAUUAGGCAGUUAGCGGGGUAACGGCCCACCAAACCUUCGAUGGAUAGGGGUUCUGAGAGGAAGGUCCCCCACAUUGGAACUGAGACACGGUCCAAACUCCUACGGGAGGCAGCAGUGAGGAAUAUUGGUCAAUGGACGGAAGUCUGAACCAGCCAAGUAGCGUGAAGGAUGACUGCCCUCUGGGUUGUAAACUUCUUUUAUACGGGAAUAACAUGAGGUACGGGUACCUUA
rnacentral:rRNA from 1 species